rnacentral:lncRNA from 1 species
CACGGGACACCUGCAUCUGCCAACAAGACUGGAAGCAGAAAGGGACAGAGACGGCGAAGUUUGACGGUCUGGAAAGCAGAGACCAGCAGGGCUGACUGCUUGGGAGCUCUCCACCGACCGAAGGAGGAGAAUGCUAUUUAUUUCAGCACCAAAUAUCCGGACAGCGCCUCUCGGGAGGUCCGAGAAGAGAACCGCGAUCUGUUUCAGCACCGGGGCUCAGGACAGUUCCCAGCGGGCUCCGUUUCGUCUCCAGAACCCUGGACAGCUCCUCCAGAGACGGGGUUUCACCAUGUUGGCCAGGCUGGUCUCAAACUCUUGACCUCUUCAUCCGUCCACCUCAGCCUCCCAAAGUGCUAGGAUUACAGGCGUGAGUCACUGCGCCUGGCCCAAGUCCGGAAUUUUCAACAGGACAUGGGUGUUACUGUGCCCAUGUGACAUUUGGGGAACCCAAGGCCCUGAGAAAGGCAGAAAAAUAACCCACGCAGGGACUCUCAGCCCACAAGUGAAGCUGAGAACCGGGAAUGGAAAACAGGGAGGCAGCACAGAGGCAGGAAACUCAGGUGUCAUAGCUUGGCUCAGCUUGGAAUGCACUCCCUCCACCUCCAACCAGAGCUCCCCACAACUGACCCUGCCUUCUUCUGCAAGCUCCAUUUCAUCAAGGGAAACGAUCCUUAUUGCCUCACCAUUUCCCACGUGAAGUCUGUAUUGACAUUCUCAUAGACCUGGGAUAUUGUGUCUGCAGCACAUAGUCCAAUUAUUUUCAUGUUAUCUACUGACAGGUCUAUUUGUCUCCCUGUUACACUGUGAGCUCCGUGAGGGCAGAAACAAUGUUAGUAUUUUCACUGCUGUGUCCCCAGCGCCUGGUCCGGGGCCCGGCACACAGCAGGCAUAUAAUAAGCAUGUGUUGAAUCAAUAAAGGCAUCAAAGAAUAAACCAAUACAUCAAUCAAUAAAUGAAUGAAUGGCCUCAGCACACACAGGAAGAUCCUUCUUCUAGGUCUCCCCCAGAGAGAUACUGGAGGGCAAUGGUUGCUGGAGGUGUUUAUUGGGGAAGCAUAAUUGAAUUUGUGGACACUUAAGGGCCGGCCAGCCAACUCACAGCCCCAAGAGAGAGAGCCAGGCUCAUUUAAUUAGCAAUUACAAGGCACUGAUUCCUCAUUAGCUCUGGCAACCCUCGUCUCCCUCCUCAGCCCCAGACAAAUGAAAUCUUUCUCUCUCUCCCAGGAGUACUGCCUCAGUGGGUCCAUUAACAAGCAGAGAAAAUGAGAUUAGAAGACACCUAAAUGCCAGAGGCACUUUAUGAAUGGGCUGAGCAGAGGGAGGUUCAAUGUCUGGGUUAGGUCUAAUUGUGGGAGGUUUCCUGGUCUAUUUAGAAUUGCCCCCUGGGAAUGCAAGGUCUUUCAGAAAGGAAAAGGCACACAGAUAUUGCCUUCUGGGGUCCUCAAUGGAGGAGGACAUUCUGCUAUGGGUGUCUCCCAGUCACCCCAAAUUAAUCAUUUCAAAGUGAACACUCAAUCUGCCCAGCCCCUAGCUUCCUCCCCUGACAUGCCCAUGAAUAUGACAGUCCCUCUACAUGCCCAAGAUCCUCCCCUCCUCAUCCACUCCCCAUGAUCCCCAAGAUGAGUCACUGUGCUCAAAUCCAUCCUCUCUCCUCCAGCCCUCUGCCUCCAUGACCUCCCUCCAGCCCUCUGCCUCCAUGACCUCCGCCUCCCUGCAUGUCCGGAUCUCCUCACUGUCUCCCCUCUGAGCAUACACACACAUACAGCCUGUUCAUUCUCUACAUGCAGCGAGGGGACUUUCCAGAACACACAUCUGACCAAGUUCCACUCCUGCCUGUCACCCUUCCAAGAGCCCCACUGACUGCAGAAUAACGUUCAAAUAUCCGGUUGGGCGUGGUGGCUCAUGCCUGCAGUCCCAGCACUUUGGGAGGCCAAGGUGGGUGGAUCACUUGCACAGGACCACAGGCGUGUGCCACCACACCCAGCUAAUUUUUAUAUUUUUGGUAGAGACGGAGUUUCACCAUGUUGGCCAGGCUGACCUCAAGUGAUCCACCCGCCUCAACCUCCCAAAGUGCUGGGAUUACAGGCAUGAGUCACUGCACCGGUCUAAUUUUUUCAGAGUCUCACUCUUGCCCAGGCUGGAGUGCAGUAGCAUGAUCUCGGUUCACUGCAACCUCUGCCUCCUGGUUUCAAGCGAUUCUCUUGGCUCAGCCUCCUGAGCAGCUGGGAUUACAGGCACGUGCCACCACACUUAGCUAAUUUUUGUAUUUUUAGUAGAGAUGGGGGUCUCACCAUGCUGGCACAGUUGGUCUUGAACUCCUGACCUCAAGUGAUCCACCCACCUCGGCUUCCCAAAGUGCUGGGAUUACAGACGUGAGCCACCGCGCCCGGCCAGCCUUUAUUGAUUCUUUUUAAAGCCACACUAACCUUUUAUUUUCCCCCAAAGACCCCUGGGAGCCCUCAGUUUUUCCUGGCAGUUUCAUCUUUGUACCCCUGACCUCCCCACACACACGCCUAGCUCAGUGCUGGCAUCCAAUAUUCACUUUGGGUAUAAAUGCUUGUGCCUGAGCCUAUCACCUUCAUCACACAGAAAAUCCUGGAGGCCACACACCCCUGUAAAGACGAGCCAUUACCCACAGAGGUCCAACCAACUUACCACCCUCUCCCAGCCACCCCCAAGGACCCAGCUUGCAGCUGCCUGCUCAAUGGCUUUAGAAACUAAAAAAGGUGAAUGAGUUUCCAUCACUGCCCUCCUGGGCUUUGCCGUUAUGGCUGGUUAACUUGACAGAAGAACACAUUAUACUUCAUUUUUUGCUGUUGUCUUGUUGGAAAAAAAAGUGACAGCUGGGUGCAGUGGUGCACACUGUAGUCACAGCUACUCAGGAGAAUUGCUUGAGCACAGGAAUUGGAGGCUACACUGAGCAAUGAUCGCCUCACUGCACUCCAGCCUGAACGACAGAGCAAGACCCUCUUAAAAAAUACGUGAGAGAGGGUGCGUAUGAUGGCUCAUGCCUGUAAUCCCAGCAGUUUG